UACGGAGGGUGCAAGCGUUGUCCGGAUUUAUUGGGUUUAAAGGGUGCGUAGGCGGCUUUUUAAGUCAGUGGUGAAAUCCUCCAGCUUAACUGGAGUCGUGCCAUUGAUACUGGGAAGCUUGAGUACAGGCGAGGUUGGCGGAAUUGAAGGUGUAGCGGUGAAAUGCAUAGAUAUCUUCAAGAACACCGAUUGCGAAGGCAGCUAACUAGACUGUAACUGACGCUGAGGCACGAAAGUGUGGGGAUCGAACAGG
rnacentral:rRNA from 1 species